UACGGGGGGGGCAAGCGUUGUUCGGAAUUACUGGGCGUAAAGGGCUCGUAGGCGGCCAACUAAGUCAGACGUGAAAUCCCCAGGCUUAACCUGGGAACUGCGUCUGAUACUGGAUGGCUUGAAUUCGGGAGAGGGAUGCAGAAUUCCAGGUGUAGCGGUGAAAUGCGUAGAUAUCGAGAGGAACACCUGCGGCGAAGGCGGGUUGCUGGGCUGACACUGACGCUGAUUGUGCGAAAGCUAGGGGAGCGAACGGG
rnacentral:rRNA from 1 species